CACGUAGUUAGCCGGUGCUUCUUAUCCAGGUACCGUCAAAAAAACUUCGUCCCUGACGAAAGGAGUUUACAACCCGAAGGCCUUCAUCCCCCACACGGCGUCGCUGCAUCAGGCUUCCGCCCAUUGUGCAAAAUUCCCCACUGCUGCCUCCCGUAGGAGUCUGGGCCGUAUCUCAGUCCCAAUGUGGCCGCACACCCUCUCAGGCCGGCUACCCGUCGCCGCCUUGGUAGGCCAUUACCCCACCAACAAGCUGAUAGGCCGCAAGCUCAUCCCACACCAGAAAAACCUUUCCACCACACCAACCACGAUGCGGUCCUAUAGGGUAUUAGACCCAGUUUCCCAAGCUUAUCCCCCAGUGCAGGGCAGAUCACUUACGUGUUACUCACCCGUUCGCCACUCGAGCACCCCAGCAAGCUGGAGCCUUUCCGUUCGACUUGCAUGUGUUAAGCACGCCGCCAGCGUUCAUCCUGAGCCAGGAUCAAACUCU
rnacentral:rRNA from 1 species